rnacentral:rRNA from 2 species
UUCGUAAGGAGGAGGAAGGUGUGGACGACGUCAAGUCAUCAUGGCCCUUAUGCCCAGGGCGACACACGUGCUACAAUGGCAUAUACAAUGAGACGCAAUACCGCGAGGUGGAGCAAAUCUAUAAAAUAUGUCCCAGUUCGGAUUGUUCUCUGCAACUCGAGAGCAUGAAGCCGGAAUCGCUAGUAAUCGUAGAUCAGCCAUGCUACGGUGAAUACGUUCCCGGGUCUUGUACUCACCGCCCGUCACACCAUGGGAGUUGAUUUCACUCGAAGCCGGAAUACUAAACUAGUUACCGUCCACAGUGGAAUCAGCGACUGGGGUGAAGUCGUAACAAGGUAACCGUAGGAGAACCUGCGGUUGGAUCACCUCCUUUCUAG